AUGUGGACCCGUCUUCGUGAGCGCUAUCAGCCCUCUGGUGAUGCCUUAUACCUUUCUGUGGUCCGUCAGGAGCAUGCUCUUCAGCAGGGUGACUCUACUGUUGAUGACUUCUAUGCACAGAGUUCUGCUAUCUGGCGCCAGCUUGAUUCUCUCCGCAGUGCUGGUUGUCGUACCUGCCCCUGUUGCCAGGCUGUCUAGGCCAAUUUGGAGUUUCAUCGCGUCUAUGAGUUCCUGUCUCGGCUCCGUAAGGAGUUUGAGCCCCGGCGUGCUCAGUUGUUUGCUCGUGGCCGUAUUUCUCUCAUGGAGGCGCUUUCUGAGAUUCGUGCUGAGGAGACUCGCUUACGUGGUGCUGGUUUGCUGGAGGUUCCCUCUAUGCUCGCUACUCGUGCUCCUACGCCACCUGCUGCACCGACCCCUUCUCGCUCGAGUGCUCCGCCGCUCUUGCCCACUCCUUCUGGAGGCUCAGGUCGCCGUCCACAUUGCGACUAUUGCAACAAUGAUGGUCAUCUUGAGUCUCAGUGCUACACGAAGAAGAAACACCUGCGCAAGGCGCAAUCAUCAUCUUCAGGGACUUCGUCA
rnacentral:rRNA from 1 species